AUUUUUUCAGGUGCAGUCCAUGGAGUCGGGCAUAUUGUUUCAGCUCCCUUCAGAAAAGUUAGAGAGGGUGUCCAGGACGUUGGUCACCAUGCUAAAGCAUCCGGAGAUAAGACUAAGGAGGGUAUCCAAGACGAUGGUCAUCAUGCUA